UUUGACAACCAACCAGUCAUGAACAUGCACGGUGCUCAUGAUGCAACUUCCUGGAUGGUGUGUAAACUGUUUAUCAGCAUGUGAAAUCCACAUGAUUGAAGGAGAAGUCUCCCUUGUUAAAGAUCAGC